rnacentral:rRNA from 1 species
CCUACGGGAGGCAGCAGUGGGGAAUAUUGGACAAUGGGCGAAAGCCUGAUCCAGCCAUGCCGCGUGUGUGAAGAAGGCCUUUUGGUUGUAAAGCACUUUAAGCGAGGAGGAGGCUACUUGGAUUAAUACUCUGGGAUAGUGGACGUUACUCGCAGAAUAAGCACCGGCUAACUCUGUGCCAGCAGCCGCGGUAAU